rnacentral:rRNA from 1 species
UACGAAGGGGGCUAGCGUUGUUCGGAAUUACUGGGCGUAAAGCGAACGUAGGCGGUGUUCCAUGUCAGAGGUGAAAGCCUGGGGCUCAACUCCAGAAUUGCCUUUGAAACGGGGACGCUUGAGUCCGAGAGAGGGUGGCGGAAUUCCUAGUGUAGAGGUGAAAUUCGUAGAUAUUAGGAAGAACACCAGUGGCGAAGGCGGCCACCUGGUUCGGUACUGACGCUCAGGUUCGAAAGCGUGGGGAGCAAACAGG